UUUAUUUUGGGACAAAGUUAUUUUGACAAAAAAAAAACCCUGUAGUAGGUGUCAAUAGCAAUCAUCUUUUUCGUUCAAUAGUUGAAAAUCCACGGGCUAAAUGUUAAAGCCCGAACCAUUCUAUUUUCUAGGGUUUACGAUUCGCUAUAAAAUCCCCAAACUCAACCUCCUUCUCUUCCUAAUCGCAGUUACUUCUGCGCAGUCUCUUUUUCGUUCGAUUAGGGUUUUAUCUCAACAAGUUCUCUUCCGUUUUCAACCGCAAUGAGGGCCAAGUGGAAGAAGAAGCGUAUGAGGAGGUUGAAGAGGAAGCGCCGAAAGAUGAGACAGAGAUCCAAGUAGUGUGUGUUCUCAGCCAUCGUCGUCUGCUCUUAGUUUUGUUUUUCCCUUUCGUGUUGUUUUUUGUUAUUUAAUCAGACUCCUCAGCAAGAGAGUGGUAUCUGUUUCUCUCUCUUUUUGCUGUUAUGAUAUUUUGGUUUUGUAUUAGCUCAAAGAUAUUGUUCUUUUUGGAAUUGAGUAGCUAUAACAUUUGAAUUUCGUUCUA